rnacentral:rRNA from 1 species
UCUUGACCUCAAUCAGGUAGGACUACCCGA